rnacentral:rRNA from 1 species
UACAGAGGGGGCAAGCGUUGUUCGGAAUUACUGGGCGUAAAGGGCGCGUAGGCGGCCUUCUAAGUCGAACGUGAAAUCCCCGGGCUCAACCCGGGAACUGCGUCCGAUACUGGAAGGCUUGAAUCCGGGAGAGGGAUGCGGAAUUCCAGGUGUAGCGGUGAAAUGCGUAGAUAUCUGGAGGAACACCGGUGGCGAAGGCGGCAUCCUGGACCGGCAUUGACGCUGAGGCGCGAAAGCGUGGGGAGCGAGUCCGG